rnacentral:rRNA from 1 species
CUGCCUGGUAGUGGGGGGACGAACGUUUCGAAAGGAACGCUAAUAACCGCAUACGUCCUACGGGAGAAAGCAGGGGACCUUCGGGCCUUGCGCUAUCAGAUGAGCCUAGGUCGGAUUAGCUAGUUGGUGAGGUAAUGGCUCACCAAGGCGACGAUCCGUAACUGGUCUGAGAGGAUGAUCAGUCACACUGGAACUGAGACACGGUCCAGACUCCUACGGGAGGCAGCAGAC